UACGUAGGGGGCGAGCGUUGUCCGGAUUUAUUGGGCGUAAAGAGCGUGUAGGCGGCCAGGUAGGUCCGUUGUGAAAACUCGAGGCUCAACCUCGAGAGGUCGGUGGAAACCGUCUGGCUAGAGUCCGGAAGAGGAGAGUGGAAUUCCCGGUGUAGCGGUGAAAUGCGCAGAUAUCGGGAAGAACACCCGUGGCGAAGGCGGCUCUCUGGGACGGUACUGACGCUGAGACGCGAAAGCGUGGGGAGCGAACAGG
rnacentral:rRNA from 1 species